UUGCCACCACCAUGUAAGAAGUGCCUUUCAUAUCCUGCCAUGAUUCUGAGGCCUCCCCAGACAUGUGGAACUGAGUGAUGCAGAGAUGUGACCCAACGGGUCUACCUACCAGGGAGGAGGUGUGGUUUUUACUGGAAUAUUCUGGCAGGCAAAAGGAUCUCUCCUUUUGGCUUUCUCCCUGCUUCUGAAACACAUCCCUUUCCAGGAAUGCAUGCUUUCUGAGGCAGACAAAAGAAGAGUUGUUCAAGGGAGAAGAAGACUUAGAGACACAGACACACAGAGGGAAGAAGGCCAUAGAAAGACAAAGGCAAAGAUUGGAGUUGUACUGCCACAAGCCCAAGAAUGAGGAAACCACCAGGAGCUAGAAGAAACAAGCAAGGAUUCGUCCCUGGAUUGGUCUUUCAAAGGGAGCAUGGCCCUGCUGACACUUUAAUUUCAGACUUCUAGGCUGCAGAACCAUUAAAGAAUAAAUUUCCUUUGUUUCAA
rnacentral:lncRNA from 1 species